rnacentral:rRNA from 1 species
GACGAACGCUGGCGGCGUGCUUAACACAUGCAAGUCGAACGAUGAAGCCGGAGCUUGCUCUGGUGAAUUAGUGGCGAACGGGUGAGUAACACGUGAGUAACCUGCCCUUGACUCUGGGAUAACUGCUAGAAAUGGUAGCUAAUACCGGAUACGACCCUCGGAGGCAUCUCCAGGGGGUGGAAAGAAUUUCGGUCAAGGAUGGACUCGCGGCCUUUCAGCUAGUUGGUGAGGUUACGGCUCACCAAGGCGACGACGGGGAGCCGGCCUGAGAGGGUGACCGGCCACGCUGGGACUGAGACACGGCGCAGACUAGUACGGGAGGCAGCGGUGGGGAAUAUUGCACAAUGGGCGCAAGCCUGAUGCAGCAACGCCGCGGGAGGGAUGGCGGCCUUCGGGUUGUAAACCUCUUUUAGUAGGGAAGAAGCGAAAGUGACGGUACCUGCAGAAAAAGCACCGGCUAACUACGUGCCAGCCGCCGCGGUAA